UCUGACCCUGCUUGGCCUGAAUCGCUGUCGGUGCCCAUUUGGAUCGGGCACAGCUGGUGCUGCCGCUGAAAGCCGAGUGCCAUUACCGCCGCUGUCUACUGUCUGUCCUGUCUGCCUGUCUGUCUGAGAGACACAUCUUGAUAAUGCUGCUGUCACUGUUGGGCCACGUACCUGUAACCACACCCACACUGACCACUCCCCAAGUAUACGUCUACAUACACUUCAACCACUGGAGGUCAGCAAAAGCAAGAUGUGAGUCCCCCAUGAAGGACAGCCACUGCGAGCUGACAACCUGGCUGCCUGCCAUUCGUUGCUCUGUACUGUCUGGGGGCCUAUAAGCAGCUCGGGUGGAAACACACCUGAGACGGAACCCCCACAUUGAGUCUCCCUCUGCCCGGCCUUCAGCACAUCCUCCCAGACCGACCUAACAGAUGUGGAUCAGUUGGAAAUAUUGCAGUGAGUAAUGGAACAAGAAGGAGCAGCUACAGUGAGCUGUUAGAGGAAGAGCUGCAGGCGACAGGCUGCACACCUCCAUCUUCUCAGCAAGAGGAAAAGAAAAAAACACUUGUCUGCUGGCUGCCGGUUUGUCUCUAGCCUCUCUGAGCCUUUCCCUGGUUUGGCAUUGGCUGGCUGGAGCAUCUGCUGUAUUGGUAUUGGCUGGUUCCAGCAGGUGAGGCAUAGCUGUGCCACUUAAUCAAUGCCCUGCAGUGGGGGAAGCAUGUGCCAGACACACAGUGCAGCAGCAGCAGCAGCAGCAGCAGCAGCAGCAGCAGCCGUCAGCAUUGGCAGCUCUCCAUGAAGCUGAGCAUGGGGAUGGCAUGACCUUCAGACAGCCGGGACUAACAGGAGAAAAGACACGCACACACAUAUACACACAAAUACAGGCUGUGCGCGUUUUCCUUUGCAAAUCACGUUCUUUCCCCCAAAAUGUCUGCAGGCCACGCCCAGAGCUCCACCUUUCCUCUGCAGAGGCGAACGCUCAACUUCUCACAAUAGGAGAACGGCUGCGAGUGUGGCGAGGAGGCAUGGCGGGGCUUUCUGAAGGUCAAGACAAGGCUCAGAUAGCACGCACAAACAGACUGCAGAGGCUGCCAGAUGCAUGAAACA